rnacentral:tRNA from 1 species
UGCGGGGUAGCUCAACAGGCACAGAGCAGCCGGUUCAUACCUGGCUCAGACGCCGGUUCGAGUCCGGCCCCCGCAG